CUGAACGGGAUAUGACUUUAUUGUGCAUUUUGAGCCUAAAAAGUGAUUCUAGGAUUCAAAUAAAUUCGACUGUCAAAUUUUUUCGAAACACUUAGGCUUUUCAUCAAUCUUGGAAAUUCAGUUCCGACGAAACAUGGAAAAAGUUACAGGCAAUAUUGCAUUUUACAGAGUCGAGGUGUUCAGACUGUCGUGAAUAGAUCAGCGGAUCAACCAAUCACGUUAUUGUCUUUCGAUGUAUCACAUCGUUCUCCCCCACCACGCCCACGUCCGCCCCAUCCCCAACGCUCUAAGACGGGGAGUUAAACCGUUCUUUUCCGCCCGGCGUCUCGAGAAUUCUUGAUUGCCAAUUUCCACGACGCCAUUAGUACGAAAGGACGACGACGGUCACUGCAAACGUUUAAAGGAAAAUUGGGUAUAAUGUAAUAUAAUUAAUUAUUUACAAUAAUGGUAAUUCUCAAUAUAAUUAUUAAUCGUUAUUAUACCUUACAUUUAGAAUAAAAUUAAAUAGAUGUCUAUAAUACUUACUAGAUUCGGGGUAUUACACAGGCAACACUUUUAUU